CCCUUAGAUGUUCUGGGCCGCACGCGCGUUACACUGAUGCAUUCAACGAGCUUAUAACCUUGGCCGAGAGGCCUGGGCAAUCUUGUUAACGUGCAUCGUGAUAGGGAUAGAUUAUUGAAAUUAUUAAUCUUGAACGAGAAAUUCCUAGUAAACGCAGAUCAUCAAUCUGCAUUGAUUACGUCCCUGCCCUUUGUACACACCGCCCGUCGCACCUACCGAUUGGAUGGUCCGGUGAAGCCUCGGGAUUGUGGUUCUUGCCGCUUUAUUGUGGCGUGACCGCGAGAACUUGUCUAAACCUUAUCAUCUAGAGGAAGGUGAAGUCGUAACA
rnacentral:rRNA from 1 species